UACGUAGGGUGCAAGCGUUAAUCGGAAUUACUGGGCGUAAAGCGUGCGCAGGCGGUUUUGUAAGUCUGACGUGAAAUCCCCGGGCUCAACCUGGGAAUUGCGUUGGAGACUGCAAGGCUGGAGUCUGGCAGAGGGGGGUAGAAUUCCACGUGUAGCAGUGAAAUUCGUAGAGAUGUGGAGGAACACCGAUGGCGAAGGCAGCCCCCUGGGUCAAGACUGACGCUCAUGCACGAAAGCGUGGGGAGCAAACAGG
rnacentral:rRNA from 1 species